CCAACGGCCCUUUUUAGGGCCACCCAUCCGUUCCUUUGAAAGAGCU
rfam:Myotis brandtii contig187577, whole genome shotgun sequence.